UACGUAGGGGGCGAGCGUUGUCCGGAUUUAUUGGGCGUAAAGAGCUCGUAGGCGGUUGGGUAAGUCACGUGUGAAAUCUCCACGCUCAACGUGGAGGCGCCACGUGAGACUGCCCUGACUGGAGUCCGGUAGGGGAGCGUGGAAUUCCCGGUGUAGCGGUGAAAUGCGCAGAGAUCGGGAGGAACACCCGUAGCGAAGGCGGCGCUCUGGGCCGGUACUGACGCUGAGGAGCGAAAGCGUGGGGAGCAAACAGG
rnacentral:rRNA from 1 species